rnacentral:rRNA from 1 species
UACGGAGGGUGCAAGCGUUAUCCGGAUUCACUGGGUUUAAAGGGUGCGUAGGUGGGCAGGUAAGUCAGCGGUGAAAUCUCCGGGCUUAACCCGGAAACUGCCAUUGAUACUAUUUGUCUUGAAUACCGUGGAGGUCAGCGGAAUAUGUCAUGUAGCGGUGAAAUGCUUAGAUAUGACAUAGAACACCAAUUGCGAAGGCAGCUGGCUACACGAAUAUUGACACUGAUGCACGAAAGCGUGGGGAUCAAACAGG